GGUCUAAAUUUCGCCUGACCCUACUGUGUCUCUCUCGCUCUCCCAGUGUUAACUCUUGCCCACCCCCUGUACCGACCGCUGCUCUUUGUUGAACUCGGCCACAGGUCGGCAGCUAUUACCUUGUGGAGUCAGUGUCUAAAUGCGGCCAUUUAUUUUAAUUCGACAAAGCGAAAGGAAGAAGCGAAUCUUCAGAAUGAACAACGAAUUGGAGCUUUGACCAGUGAAGGAUGUAAAUAAUAAUAAUAAUUAUAAUGAAAUGUAAAAUGAAAGGCAGCUGCCUGCUGACCGUGCAAUAGUGAUGUGCAAUGAGUUCACUGUCCCAGAGUGCAGUGUGGCCCGUGUCCCUGAUAGAGGGCUUUCCCCGUCCGCGCGGGAUUGUGGGAACGUGGCCCGCCAUUGCUCUAUCAUCAAUUAGCAUGUAUUGAUUUCCUGAAGAGCACACUCCCUUUAUUCAGAGGGACAGCCCAGGCUGGGUCGAUGCCAUCCAAAAGCUUGUGCACACAGGGAGGAAUCAAUCUCAGCCAGAGCGCUUGUGAGCCUUGUGUGAGGAGACUUUUCUGGAAUCUUGUCGUUUGCCCUUCACAGACACCACGAUUGCAAAGCUCUGCUUUGGCAGAACGACAUGCUGGGGGCCCCCUUCAGCUGGUUAACACUGGAGAGUUCAUCUCAGCGAUGUGACAUCUGCUGGAGAGUCCAUCCGAGCGAUCUACUACUGCUGGAGAGACCACUCGAGGGUGGUAACUAAUGCUAGAGAGACAACCUGAGUGAUGUGGCCAGUGCUGGGGAGACCACCGAGCGAUGUGAAUGAUGCUGGAUAGAUCAAACGAUCGAUGCGAAAACUGCUAGAGAGUCCAUUGGAGGAAUAGUUGAGAUACUUGGUACCAAGUGGUGCUCAGGGAACCACCAGCCUCAAAGUUCUCAAUCGUUCCCAGUGACCGUGAGCUGUUCCAGGCCUCCAUCCUGCUAAGUCCUGUAAAGUUGGUCUGUGCAUGUUCCGGACCGGCGGGAUUUCACGCUUUCAAGCUCAUGGGGCGGGCGGUCGGGGAGCUGGGUAAUUACACAUAAUCGGUUGAAACUGGAAAGUUACAUUACAAAUAUGGAAUUUUCAUUCUAACUUGAGAAAAACAUUCAUAUCUAUAGCGUUGCAAAGUUACGAGGCAUGUAUUUGUGCACGUGUAACAAAAAUUAAUAUCAUAAUGCCGUAAAAACCCAUUGAUGAAUAUUGAAUGCCGAGAUAAUGAAGGAUUCCAUUCAGUUGCCCUUGCUGCUAUCCACAUAAUUAUUUCCUGUAGCUUAAACGUGUCCUACGUUGAAUGUUUAACUUGCAAACUACGUGUAUAAUUACCAGCAGCCUGCUGGUCCCAGCUGCACGGCUGCAUCAGUUGUGCAUCUGAUCGAGUCACACACGAGUUCCUUAUCUCUUUGACACAAGAUUAAUAUCUGCAUUUUUGGACACGUGUGUUUGGAAAUAUGAGAGUUCAAUGUGUUUAGAAGAUUUGAACGGAAUAUAUCUUUCUAAGAGUGACACACGUUCACAAUUACUUACUUGAGAAAUUCUGCUCAGUUCUGCAGGACUGAGUUCCAUACAUUUGAUGAAAGUUUGCUGCAAGGAUAGUGAUCUGCCCGAAGCAUUAUUUGCAUCAAAAGUGAUAAAUUUGGUAGCUAAUUCUUUGAGGACAUCAUCGAUGGUUUUGCUUCCAAAACAUCACGAAAGAAAACGUUUUAAUGUUACCGCUUCAUGUGAUUUGCACACAGAUUUGCUGCAGUUUGCAUUACUGCUUCCUCUUAAUAAGCUGUUGAAUUGUGCAACAGAUUUUCUGUUUGUGUUGACAAAAGUUUACAUUCCUACCAAAUAUGAAAUCGUGAACGUAUUUCAACUUGAAAUUAUUAUCGAAUGCAAACUGAUAUUUGGUAAGACGUAGUUUUGUUUCAUUGUAAUGUUUACUUUGUGCCUUUACCUUUGCAUAUUUGCGAAGAUAAAGUUUACCGGCCACUUUCUGUGUGAGUUCUAAGGGAAUACUUCAGGGCUCUGAAGAAGUCAUACGGAGUCGAAACGUUAACUCUCUCUUUCUGUCCACAGACACUGUCAGACCUGCUGAGUUUUUCCAGCAUUUUUUGUUUCUGGUGCAAGACUGUUUCACUUUGACAUAAAGUGUAUAAACUUUGAAUCUCUUGUGAUACAACAAGCAUUACUCUGACAUAUUUAAACACCCUUACAAACUGGUUAGGUUUAUAAUUCUCAUGUCACAAAGCACUGCCUUGUACAUUUUAACACGGAGGUCAGAUUGACGGCAGUACAGAGCAGUAACAAUGUUUUUGCUAAUUGAAAAAGACAGUGUGUACUGGAAGGACAACCUUUCUCUCUCUCUCUCUCUCUCUCUCACACACACACGAACACACAUGCAUACACACACAAACACAUGCAAACACACUCUUUCCCUCUCUGUCUCUCUCCCACACACACACAUGCACAUAUAAACAUAUGUACACAUAUGCACCCACACACACACAGUAAGACCAACAGACAGGCAGAUAAAUGCACAUGUAGUGAAACAGACUCACCUUCAGCAAUCUCCCUCUGAAGGAUGAUGUCAUAUUCACAUGGCACAGAAACACACUGCGUACACACAUGCGCACAAGCACACACACACACACACAGAUGGACAGACAGGCAGAUACACCCUCUCCCUCUCACACUCACUAACAAAUGGACUUACGCAACUGUACAGACGGACAGAAACAUAAACAGAUGUGUGCACUACCAUAGGCGCGCGUGCGCGCACACACACACACAUGCAGACAGACAUACACACAGGGGACAAACACUCAAAAACGGGCACAUGCAAACACACACACACACACGUACACAUGCACGUGAACAUAGGUGGACUCAGAAACACACAAGAAGCCACAGACAUAUGCACAAACACACAAACGCACAGAGACACACAUGCACAUUCUCACACACAUUCAUACACACAAAGGCAGACAGAAACAUAAAUGGACACAAUCACUCACACAGUCAAACACGCACACGCAACCUCAACUUAAGCAAUCUCUCUCGGCUUGGGUCUGUCGUGACCACGCGCAUGCACACACACACACAAACACACAAACAGUUAUAAGCUAAAUAUUUAAGAUAAAUUAUACAUGAUAGUAUAAAUUGAUAUUUAGUUGCCAGGUUGGGCUUGAUGCCCAAUGCAGAGGAAUAACAUUGCACGUGUUUAUUUCAUUGGACAGGAUUACUGAUCCACAGCGUGUAACGUUUGAUCUGACUUGUAAAAAUUAAUUUGAUAGCCAACACACAGACGGGUAAUUUUACUGUACGUCGUGAGUUCGUAAUGACAAAUUAUAAACAGAAUGUAAAUCUAAAGCUAGUUGUUGUAUUGGUCCUGAAAACAGUACAUGUUGAGAAAAUAAAGGUACUUCUGUAUUGAAACUGA